CAAGCAUAACCCACUCUGUGGUUCCUGGUCUCAAGGCCCCAGUGUUAGGUGAGGCCAACAUAUGCCUAAUAAAAGACGGGUGCUGAGUUAGAUGAGAAUCCUCCUCAGAUUGGAGAGCAUGAUUUCUAUGACAGAAUCACCAAAUAAAGUGAGAAACAGGAAACAAAAAUAAUGGUCACGGCGGAAGGCAGAAUAACGCUCCUUCCCCUCCAUGCACGAUGUCUGGAUUCUAGUCCCCAAACCUGUGAAUGUCAAGUUAGACGGCAAAGGGGAAUUAAGGCUGCAGGUGGGAUUAAGCUUGCUAAUCCGCUGACUUUAAAGUAGGGAGAUUAUCCCGGAUUAUGGGGCCGGGUGGGUGGGGAGGGGGCGGCUGUGUAAUCACAAAACUCUUUAAACGUGGAAGAGGACAUCAGCAGCGACAACCGGGGAUGGCAGCCCGAGCAGCAAACAGGCCUCAGCUUGAUGUUACAGGCUUUAAAGACGAUGGCAGGGGGACGGGAGCCAAGGACUGAUGGUGGAUCUAGAAGCCGGAAAAGACAACCAAGUGGAUUCUCCUAGAACCUCCAGAAGGAAAGGCAGCCUUGCUGGCUGAGCCCAGUGAGACCCAUGCCAGGCUCCUGAACCCCAGAGCGCUGGCCUGCCUGUGUGAGGAGGGAGCAUGUCUCUAGAAACAAGGAGAGACUGUGGGCUUGAAGCCAAGCUGAGCUGAGCUAGAUUCCUUCUUGGCCACCAGAAGACACUGUGACCUCCUGGCAAGCACUGUGACCUUUGCUGGGAAGCCUCCAGCUACCCCUCCUCCCCACUGAUCCUCCCUGGUUGUCUUUCCUCCUGCUUAUUCCAGCCAGCUCCACUGUCCCUUCUCUGGGAAGCCGUUCCUGACUCCUAAGGGUAGGCUGAGCCCCUCCCUCCCCAUCUGAUUCUCCCACAGCAUCCACACUUUUCCCUGACAGCAACCAUCACAACUGUAAUGAAAUGUGUGUACUAAUUUGUUGACAUUUGUCUCCCUGGAGUUGCAAACCCUCAGAGAACAGGGCCGGUGUCCGUCUUAUUCACAGCUGUCCUCAGAUGUGAGAAGAGCCCCUGGCACACUGUGCCCAGGAAGUCUCUGCUGGCUGGGACCAACCAAACCCUGAAUCUUAGUUGCCUCCUCUAUAAAACACCUUGCUGAGCUGUUGCAAGGAUUAAAUGGCAAAAUGUUGUAAAUGAUUAAACAGGAUUACUCAUUA